GGAUGGGACAGGUAUCGGUUCCGAAAUCGGAAGAAAACUGGGACGUGGCGGACUAACCGCUUCGCGACUACUCUGUUUUACGUACCUGGUGAAGGAAUAGAUGUGAAACAAUCGAAAUCCAUACAAGCACGAAAUUUUGCUGGAGGUAUAAGGGGCCAGGGCAAGGUCACUUGGUACUAGAACAAAGUCAUCGUCUGGGCUAGAACAGGGACUGCUCGCUUCUGGGGCUGAUCGAGGACUCCCAGACUCUGUUUCUGCAGUAACUAAUCCACUAGGAGAUGCUGGCAAAUCGGCAGGCAGGGGACUGACGCUAUCUCUGGGUCCUUGCAAGAAUGGAUGGUUGAAGAACUCGUCAAAAGGCAUCCGGUCUCUCGCGUUGCGCCG